AGGAGCAUUGAUGUAUGUACGAAGCCUAUGUUAGCUGAUGUAACAUUUGUAUACUUAUAUCGAAUCUCUCUCUCACUGUUAAAAUCAUAUAUCGUGAUCAGAAGAGGUAAAUAUACUUUUCUUUUUUUGUCUUUUAUUUAUGUAUUGCCAACAAAGAUAAUGGAUACGUGUUUCAAACUGUCAAAUCGCGAUGUGAAAUCAGUCUGCAUCAUGGCGUAUCUAUAAUAACUAUACCGAGUGAUUCGAAAUUGAACGAAAAUAGUCGAUGGAAAAAAGUGAAUGUAAAAAAUGGUGAACAGAGAAAGAAAUUAAAUAAAAGAAAUAAAAUAUAAAAAAUACAGAAAAAAUACAGAGACAGAAGAGAGAGAGACUGAAUCUCAUUCAAAAAUGUAAAGAAUAGCACAGGAUAGAAAAAAAGUGAUUAGUGCCAAUCAAUGCUACUUUGAAUAUUAUUUUUAUGGCAUACUGUGUUAAUCCAAUCACACGGAUGCGUUAAUUGAUAUAAUAAAUGUGACAGUGACCAUCAUUAAUAGCUGUGGAAUAUCACGACACAUUUCACCUUUCUAUCCGUUUUCAUUUCUAUAUAUACCUACACUUAACCUAUAGAUUUAUGGAUAUUUGCUUCACUAUAACUGCAGAUUUUCCUAUUAGUUUCUUUCUAGUUUUAUUUCUAAUUUCUCUUUCUCUUUGCAGUUAUAUGCAGUAUCCUUUCUUCUAUUCUUAUAGAAUUUUAAGAGAAGAUUGAACGUUAUUACAUAAUCCUUCAUUAUAUAUCAAGAUUUAAAUUACAAAUUUAAAUUAAGUGCAAUCUUUUAUAUAAAAAAAAAAAAAGCUAUAAAAACUAACAUGAUAUAUUAUUAGGUUAUGCAUGAUUAAUAUAAGAUUAUUACAUAAUAGGUUGUCGUAGUCAUAAAUUACGUUAAAAAGAUAUCAUUGAAUUGAAGUCAUCACAAAUUUUCUGCAUCAUAUUAACGAAAAUUAUAUAUAAUACGUAAUACGUAAUGAAUAUAUUUCUUUCAAAAAAGAAUCGUCUUUCAUUAACAAAAUAUGAUCGAAAACAAUCUAUGACGUCAGAGAAUAUAUGAAAGUAAAAGAUUUCAGAUUUUACGGCAGCUGAACGUGACUAGAAAGAGCGUUACGGCCAAUUUAAUAGCAUUCAUGCGAGAAUUGACACUUGACACGUGGUGCCGUUUGACCGAAGGUCGAUCGUUAUUCAGGAUUAAGCAUGCGCGUGAAAACAGCGCCAAAAUCACUGGACUUGGCUAACCGACCGUUGUUUUCAUAUUCUUUAAAACAUUGUUUAUAAUAACUUUGCCUUUUUUCAUUAUUUUACAACCUUCGAGAAUAUUUAUCUGAAAUUCUGCAAUAAUGCAUGACGAUAGUAUAAAAGAGAAACAAAAUUAAAAAACUAGUAAAGGAAUUUUGAGGAUAAUCACUUGCAGCCAAUCGGUCAUCGACCUUUGCCUUGCAACGUAUAUGUAAAUAUAAUAUACGUUUUGCACGCUAGAUGUCGCUCAUUAUGCGUUUUAAAUGGUAAUCUCAAGAAAUUAUAAAUUAUACUAUGGAUUAAAAUGAAAACAAUAAAUACUAUGUGAAGCUUGCAUUCAACGUACUAAAGCAAGAAAGAUUUCUUGCUCGUUCCGCCUAUCUUUAUCUUUAUUACUUAUUCAUUAUCACUAUAUUUUAUUUAGUUUCUUAAACUUAUUUCCUCUUUUUACUACGCAUCGAACUAAUGUGAUAUUUUCUGCCAAUAGGGAAAAUAUGUGUGACAAGGUCAUUUUAAGUAAGAGUAAGACAGCGUUCCAGCCAAUUAGACCGACAUUCCUUUCCAGUGCAAAAACUCUUGAGCUUCAAUACAUUUUUGUGAUGUUUCCCUACAUCUUCUUGAUUUCUAGAAAAUUAGAACUAGAAUCAUACUAUUAUUAAUCUGCUAUGUUAAUCAUGAUCACAUUUUAAUAUUCCGAUUUUUUUCUAUGAACGACGUUCAUAGAUUCAACAAAUAAACGAAUAUCAAUAUUUAAGAUAUUGUUGUUCACUCUUUGGAUCAAUAAGAAUCAAUAUGACAGGCCCAAUCGACGGGUCCACAGGUUAUAGUUUCUUUUCACAAGAUGUAAAAGGAGACGAUCUUGUAUUAGUAACUGUAAGCAACUUCACCUUCCAUCAGCAGGGGGCAACAAGCCUGUCAGACAACGAUGCGGACACAACAAUAAUAACACAAGACGGAGAACACGCGAGAAAUGGACAUAGAAAAUUUCUAUAUAUAUAUAGUAUGUUAGUAAUAUUCUUGACUAGAAGAAAAUACAGUGAGUUGAAAAAA